rnacentral:rRNA from 1 species
AGAGUUUGAUCAUGGCUCAGAACGAACGCUGGCGGCAGGCUUAACACAUGCAAGUCGAGCGCCCGCAAGGGGAGCGGCAGACGGGUGAGUAACGCGUGGAAACGUGCCCUUUGGUUCGGAACAACUCCGGGAAACUGGAGCUAAUACCGGAUAAGCCCUUCGGGGGAAAGAUUUAUCGCCAAAGGAUCGGCCCGCGUCUGAUUAGCUAGUUGGUGAGGUAAUGGCUCACCAAGGCGACGAUCAGUAGCUGGUCUGAGAGGAUGAUCAGCCACACUGGGACUGAGACACGGCCCAGACUCCUACGGGAGGCAGCAGUGGGGAAUAUUGGACAAUGGGCGCAAGCCUGAUCCAGCCAUGCCGCGUGAGUGAUGAAGGCCUUAGGGUUGUAAAGCUCUUUUGUCCGGGAAGAUAAUGACUGUACCGGAAGAAUAAGCCCCGGCUAACUUCGUG